UACGGGGGGGGCAAGCGUUGUUCGGAAUUACUGGGCGUAAAGGGUUCGUAGGUGGCUUGUUAAGUCAGACGUGAAAUCCCUCGGCUCAACCGGGGAACUGCGUCUGAGACUGAUGAGCUCGAGUGCAGGAGAGGAACGCGGAAUUCCAGGUGUAGCGGUGAAAUGCGUAGAUAUCUGGAGGAACACCGAUGGCGAAGGCAGCCUCCUGGGCCAAUACUGACGCUGAGGCACGAAAGCGUUGGGAGCAAACAGG
rnacentral:rRNA from 1 species